CUAAUUCUUCUCUCGUUCGUGGACUGGAAGUGGCAAGUGGUGCCCGAACAGGGACAGACCAGAAACAAAACAGGAGAAGAAGCCCCAACGUGAGUUUUGCAUGGCUGUGUCUUUUUCCAGCUGUCCUCAGAAGCACGUAAAAAUUCCUCCAACGACUGAAGAAUCAAGAAACUGCAAAAUCAACUUUUCUACUUCUUCACAAACAAAAAGGGGGAGAUGCUACUGCCCCUCCGAACAAUGUAUUACUUAAACUAUAACCCCUGGAGGAUUUUACUAGUUACCAAGCACAGUUAGAUAUGGCCUUAAGAAAAACAUACUGGCAACAGGUCUUUGGGGAGAAGGACGAUAUAUGACCGUGGAGUUGGGCAGCUGGGGAUGCCCGGCUCACUCAGGGCGGAACGCUGCCCUUUCACAGAAGCCUAGCAGACAGGAAUGCCAGGUCAGCUCAGGGUGGAAUAAAUACCGCCUGCUUCCCUUUUCCGUUGUCGCUCCUUUCUCUUCCCAGAGUGCCCAUUGUUAGUUAGAUGAGUCCUUUGAAUGUGCUUGGUUAACUAUAAACUUUAUCCUCCUCCUUGUUUGUCCACAAGACUUGUGACUAAUGUUUGACCUUCAUCGACUCUUUUGUUAUUGUUUCUAUCUAAUAAAAGUGAGACUGUGCAGUUGCUCAGGGCAGCAGUCUUUUCGACUGUUGUCCCCUGCUCCCAAUCUCUUGCAGCUGA